rnacentral:rRNA from 1 species
GAUGAACGCUGGCGGCGUGCCUAAUACAUGCAAGUCGAGCGAACAGACGAGGAGCUUGCUCCUCUGACGUUAGCGGCGGACGGGUGAGUAACACUUGGAUAACCUACCUAUAAGACUGGGAUAACUUCGGGAAACCGGAGCUAAUACCGGAUAAUAUAUUGAACCGCGUGGUUCAAUAGUGAAAGACGGUUUUGCUUUCACUUAUAGAUGGAUCCGCGCCGCAUUAGCUAGUUGGUAAGGUAACGGCUUACCAAGGCAACGAUGCGUAGCCGACCUGAGAGGGUGAUCGGCCACACUGGAACUGAGACACGGUCCGGACUCCUACGGGAGGCAGCAGUAGGGAAUCUUCCGCAAUGGGCGAAAGCUUGACGGAGCAACGCCGCGUGAGUGAUGAAGGUCUUCGGAUCGUAAAACUCUGUUAUUAGGGAAGAACAAAUGUGUAAGUAACUAUGCACGUCUUGACGGUACCUAAGCAGAAAGCCACGGCUAACUACGU